CACGUAGUUAGCCGUGGCUUCCUCAUUAGGUACCGUCAUUAUCGUCCCUAAUGACAGAGUUUUACGAUCCGAAAACCUUCAUCACUCACGCGGCGUUGCUGCGUCAGGGUUUCCCCCAUUGCGCAAUAUUCCCCACUGCUGCCUCCCGUAGGAGUCUGGACCGUGUCUCAGUUCCAAUGUGGCCGAUCACCCUCUCAGGCCGGCUACGCAUCGUCGCCUUGGUGAGCCGUUACCUCACCAACUAGCUAAUGCGCCGCGGGUCCAUCUCAAAGCGGAUUGCUCCUUUGAUUAUUCUAUGAUGCCAUAAAAUAUGUUAUGCGGUAUUAAUCUCCCUUUGGGAGGCUAUCCCACUCUUUGAGGCAGGUUACCCAGUGUUACUCACCCGUCCGCCGCUAAUCCACUUCCCGAAGGAGCUUCAUCGCUCGACUUGCAUGUGUUAGGCACGCCGCCAGCGUUCGUCCUGAGCCAGGAUACGAAACUCU
rnacentral:rRNA from 1 species